UAAUCUGACUCUCGCAGUGCAGGGAGCAGGACCCAGACCCAGACCCAGGGUUGAUGGCUCUCAAGGCAAAGCCAGAAAUCCUGGAAGAAUGAAAGGAGGGCAGCAGGGCAAGAAAUCUGGCAUGGAGCUGGUCUGCAUCUGCUGAAUACUCACGGCCUUCACACACAAGUGGAUUU